rnacentral:rRNA from 1 species
GCCUCGUGAAUUCAUCUCCGGGGUAGAGGCACUGUUUCGGCCAAGGGGUCAUCCCGACUUACCAACCCGAUGCAAACUGCGAAUACCGGAGAAUGUUAUCACGGGAGACACACGGCGGGUGCUAACGUCCGUCGUGAAGAGGGAAACAACCCAGACCGCCAGCUAAGGUCCCAAAGUCAUGGUUAAGUGGGAAACGAUGUGGGAAGGCCCAGACAGCCAGGAUGUUGGCUUAGAAGCAGCCAUCAUUUAAAGAAAGCGUAAUAGCUCACUGGUCGAGUCGGCCUGCGCGGAAGAUGUAACGGGGCUAAACCAUGCACCGAAGCUGCGGCAGCGACACUGUGUGUUGUUGGGUAGGGGAGCGUUCUGUAAGCCUGUGAAGGUGUGCUGUGAGGCAUGCUGGAGGUAUCAGAAGUGCGAAUGCUGACAUAAGUAACGAUAAAGCGGGUGAAAAGCCCGCUCGCCGGAAGACCAAGGGUUCCUGUCCAACGUUAAUCGGGGCAGGGUGAGUCGACCCCUAAGGCGAGGCCGAAAGGCGUAGUCGAUGGGAAACAGGUUAAUAUUCCUGUACUUGGUGUUACUGCGAAGGGGGGACGGAGAAGGCUAUGUUGGCCGGGCGACGGUUGUCCCGGUUUAAGCGUGUAGGCUGGUUUUCCAGGCAAAUCCGGAAAAUCAAGGCUGAGGCGUGAUGACGAGGCACUACGGUGCUGAAGCAACA